AUUGAACGCUGGCGGCAGGCCUAACACAUGCAAGUCGAGCGGAUGAAGGGAGCUUGCUCCUUGAUUCAGCGGCGGACGGGUGAGUAAUGCCUAGGAAUCUGCCUAGUAGUGGGGGACAACGUUUCGAAAGGAACGCUAAUACCGCAUACGUCCUACGGGAGAAAGUGGGGGCUCUUCGGACCUCACGCUAUUAGAUGAGCCUAGGUCGGAUUAGCUAGUUGGUAGGGUAAAGGCCUACCAAGGCGAAGAUCCGUAACUGGUCUGAGAGGAUGAGCAGUCACACUUGAACUGAGACACGGUCCAGACUACUACGGGAGGCAGCAGUGGGGAAUAUUGGACAAUGGGCGCAAGCCUGGUCCAGCCAUGCCGCGUGUGUGAAGAAGGCCUUCGGGUCGUAAAGCACUUUAAGUUGGGAGGAAGGGCUUACGGUUAAUACCUGUGAGUUUUGACGUUACCAACAGAAUAAGCACCGGCUAACUUCGUGCCAGCAGCCGCAGUAACAC
rnacentral:rRNA from 1 species